GUGAAUCAUCGAAUUUUUGAACGCAAAUUGCACUCUCUUCGGAGAGUAUGCCUGUUUGAGGGUCAGCCUAAAAAAAAAUCAACAUAUUCGUUGUUUCGCGUUACCUUUCUUCGGAAAUUGGGUCAUUUUAAACCUUUGGUUUUUAAGCGGUUUAAAAUUUUCUUUACGAUUCCACGAACGUUUCUGGGUUUUCCCUCUUCCAG
rnacentral:misc_RNA from 1 species